rnacentral:rRNA from 1 species
UACUGUGCAAAGGUAGCAUAAUCAUUAGUUUUUUAAUUAAGAACUGGAAUGAAUGGUUGGACGAAAUAAUAACUGUCUUAAUUUAAUUUAUAAUAGAAUUUUAUUUUUUAGUAAAAAAGCUUAAAUUAUAUUAAAAGACGAGAAGACCCUAUAAAUCUUUAUAUUUAAUUUAUUAAUUAAUUUAUAGAUUGAUUUUUUAAUUAAUUAAUUAAUUAUUUUAUUGGGGUGAUAUUGAAAUUUAGAUAACUUUUAAUUUAGUAUAACAUAAAUUAAUGAUUUAUUGAUCUUUUAUUAAUGAUUAUAAGAAUAAGUUACUUUAGGGAUAACAGCGUAAUUUUUUUGGAGAGUUCUUAUCGAUAAAAAAGAUUGCGACCUCGAUGUUGGAUUA